rnacentral:piRNA from 1 species
AGAGUGAAGAGACAGCAGGGGCUAGG